GAUGAACGCUGGCGGUAUGCCUUACACAUGCAAGUCGUACGAGAGUUUUUAACUCAAGUGGCGGACGGGUGAGUAACACGUAAGAAUUUGCCUCUAGGAGGGGGAUAACAACUGGAAACGGUUGCUAAUACCCCAUAUGCUUUCGAGUGAAAUGGAUUUCCGCCUAGAGAGAAGCUUGCGGCUGAUUAGCUUGUUGGUGAGGUAAUGGCUCACCAAGGCGACGAUCAGUAUCUGGUUUGAGAGGACGAUCAGACACACUGGAACUGAGACACGGUCCAGACUCCUACGGGAGGCAGCAGUGGGAAUUUUCCGCAAUGGGCGAAAGCCUGACGGAGCAAUACCGCGUGAGGGAUGACGGCCUAUGGGUUGUAAACCUCUUUUUCAGGGAGGAAUCAAUGACGUGUACCUGAGAAUAAGCAAUCGGCUAACUCCGUGCCAGCGCCGC
rnacentral:rRNA from 1 species